rnacentral:rRNA from 1 species
GUGCAGCAGUCGAGAAAACUUUACAAUGCGGGCAACCGCGAUAAGGGGACCUCGAGUGCUGGGUUACAAACCUGGCUGUUGGGCUGCCUAAAAAGCAGUCUAUAGCAAGGGCCGGGCAAGACCGGUGCCAGCCGCCGCGGUAACACCGGCGGCUCGAGUGGUAACCGCUAUUAUUGGGUCUAAAGGGUCUGUAGCCGGCCGACUAAGUCUCUUGGGAAAUCUGGCAUCUCAAGUGUCAGGCUGCCAGGGGAUACUGGUCGGCUUGGGACCGGGAGAGGUGAGAGGUACCUCGGGGGUAGGGGUGAAAUCUUGUAAUCCUCGAGGGACCACCAGUGGCGAAGGCGUCUCACCAGAACGGAUCCGACGGCAAGGGACGAAAGCUAGGGGCACGAACCGGAUUAGAUACCCGUGUAGUCC